GGUCAAGUUAUUAAGGGCGAGUGGUGGAUGCCUUGGCGCGUAGAGGCGAUGAAGGACGUGGCUAGCUGCGAAAAGCUUCGGGGAGGUGCUUAGCGACCUUUGAUCCGGAGGUGUCCGAAUGGGGAAACCCGAACGGCUUGACCGUUCAUCUCACGCCGAAUUCAUAGGCGUGGAGAAGCGAACCCGGGGAAGUGAAACAUCUCAGUACCCGGAGGAAAGUAAAUCAAAACGAGACUCCGCAAGUAGCGGCGAGCGAACGCGGAAAAGGGCAAACCGAGAGGACUCGUCCUCUCGGGGUUGUAGGACCCCGUCGUGGGACUGAUGACGCUAGCAGAAGCUCUUGGAAAAGAGCCCGACACAGGGUGAUAGGCCCGUAUGCGAAAGUGAAGUCAGCCCUAGGGAGUUCCUGAGUACCACAGGGCACGUGAAACCCGGUGGGAAUCUGGGAGGACCAUCUUCCAACCCUAAGUACUCCUACGCGACCGAUAGUGAACAAGUACCGUGAGGGAAAGGUGAAAAGAACCCCGGUUAGGGGAGUGAAAUAGUGCCUGAAACCACUCGCUUACAAGCCGAUCGAGGGCUAUGAGUUCUUCGGAACUAACGCCUGAGAUCGUUCCUUUUGAAUGAUGAGUCCGCGAGUUACGGUGUGUCGCAAGGUUAAGCCGUGAGGUGUAGCCGAAGGGAAACCGAGUGCGAAAUGUGCGUUAAGUGGCAUGCUGUAGACCCGAAGCGUUGUGAUCUACAUAUGGCCAGGUUGAAGCGCGGGUAAAACUGCGUGGAGGACCGAAUCCACCGAAGUUGAAAAUUCGGGGAAUGAGCUGUGUAGGGGGUGAAAGGCCAAUCAAACUGCGUGAUAGCUGGUUCUCCCCGAAAAAUAUUUAGGUAUUGCCUCGGGAAUUCGUUGUCGGAGGUAGAGCACUCAAUGGGCUAGGGGGCUUACCAGCCUACCAAACCUAAUGAAACUCCGAAUGCCGACAAACGUGAGCCCGGGAGGCAGGCUGCGAGUGAUAAGAUUCGUAGCCGAGAGGGAAAGAGCCCAGAUCGCCGGCUAAGGUCCCUAAAUUCAUGCUAAGUGGAAAACGAUGUGGGUACGCAUAGACAACCAGGAGGUUGGCUUAGAAGCAGCCAUCCUUUAAAGAAAGCGUAAUAGCUCACUGGUCAAGUGAACCUGCGCGGAAAAUAUAACGGGGCUCAAGCAUGAUACCGAAGCCGCGGGUUCUUCUUUUCAGAAGAGCGGUAGGGGAGCAUCGAAGUUGCCUGUGAAGGUCGACCGCGAGGACGGCUGGAGGUUCUUCGAGGGCAAAUGCGGACAUGAGUAGCGAUAAAACAGGUGAGAAACCUGUUCGCCGAAAACCCAAGGUUUCCUGGGCCAGGUUCAUCCUCCCAGGGUUAGUCGGGUCCUAAGCCAAGGCCGAGCAGGCGUAGGCGAUGGGAAGCAGGUUAAUAUUCCUGCACUAUUCGGUGAGUGUAAGGUCAGCAGGGACGGAGAAGGGUAGGCAAACCGGCGAACGGAAGUGCCGGUUCAAGCGAGUAGGUGGUUUUCGUAGGAUCAAAACGCGAAAACAACAUCGAGACGUGAUGAGACUUCAAAGCUUCGGCGGCGAGGGAACUUGUCGAUCCCAUGCUUCCAAGAAAAUCUGCGGGCACAGCUCCUCGAGUAUCCGUACCGUAAACCGACACAGGUGGGUAGGUGGAGAACACUAAGGCGCUUGAGAGAACCCUGGUAAAGGAACUCUGCAAAUUAGCACCGUAACUUCGGGAUAAGGUGUGCCAAUGAAGGUGAACGGCUAGCCCGGGUAGCCUUUGUUGGUCGCAGCUAAGCGGGGGUAGCGACUGUUUACCAAAAACACAGGCUUCUGCUAAGUCGAAAGACGACGUAUAGGAGCUGACUCCUGCCCGGUGCCGGAAGGUUAAGGGGAUUGUUUAGCGCAAGCGAGGACAUGAACCGAAGCCCCGGUAAACGGCGGCCGUAACUAUAACGGUCCUAAGGUAGCGAAAUUCCUUGGCGGGUAAGUUCCGUCCUGCACGAAUGGAGUAACGACUUCCCCACUGUCUCUACCAGGGACUCAGCGAAAUUGACCUCGCGGUGAAGAGACCGCGUUCCCGCGGAGGGACGGAUAGACCCCAUGAACCUUCACUGCAACUUGGCACUGACCUUCGGGGCAGAUUGCGUAGGAUAGGUGGGAGGCUAUGAAGCCGUGCUUCUGGGUGCGGCUGAGCCAACCUUGAAAUACCACCCUGUUUGUUCUGGAUGUCUAACCUCGGCCCGUGAAUCCGGGUCAGGGACAAUGUCUGGUGGGCAGUUUGACUGGGGCGGUCGCCUCCCAAAAGGUAACGGAGGCGCGCGAAGGUCCCCUCAGGCUGAUUGGAAACCAGCCGUAGAGUGCAAUGGCAUAAGGGGGCUUGACUGCGAGACCGACGGGUCGAGCAGGUAGGAAACUAGGUCAUAGUGAUCCGGUGGUUCUGUAUGGAAGGGCCAUCGCUCAACGGAUAAAAGGUACUCUGGGGAUAACAGGCUUAUCUCCCCCAAUAGUUCACAUAGACGGGGAGGUUUGGCACCUCGAUGUCGGCUCAUCGCAUCCUGGGGCUGAAGUCGGUCCCAAGGGUUUGGCUGUUCGCCAAUUAAAGCGGUACGCGAGCUGGGUUCAGAACGUCGUGAGACAGUUCGGUCCCUAUCCUCCGUGGGCGCAGGAUACUUGAAAGGGAGCUUUUCUUAGUACGAGAGGACCGGAAAGGACGCACCUCUUGUGGACCUGUUGUUGCACCAGCAGCAUAGCAGGGUAGCUACGUGCGGAAAGGAUAACCGCUGAAAGCAUCUAAGCGGGAAGCCCCCCCUAAGAUAAGGUAUCCCGGGCGUAAGCCCCUAAAGGGGCGUCGAAGACUACGACGUACAUAGGCUGGAGGUGUAAGCGGUGUAAGCCGUUGAGCUGACCAGUACUAAUACCCCGUGCGGCUUGACCAU
rnacentral:rRNA from 1 species